CACUUUGGGAGGCCGAGGUGGGCGGAUCACUUGAGGUCAAGAGUUCAAGACCAGCCUGGCCAACAUGGUGAAACCCCAUCUCUACUAAAAAUACAAAAAAAAUUAGCUGGGCAUGGUGGCGCAUGCCUGUAAUCCCAGCUACUCGGGAGGCUGAGGCAGGAGAAUCGCUUGAACCUGGGAGGCGGAGGUUGCAGUGAGCUAAGAUCGCACCACUGUACUCCAGCCUGGGCAACAGAGCGAGACCCUGUCUCAAAAAGAAAAAAAAGAAAAAGAAAAAGAAAGAAAGAAAGAGAGAAAGAAAGAAAAAGAAAGAAAGAAGGAAAGAGAAAGAAAGAAAGAAAAGAAAAAAAAUGAAAUCCCAUAUUCA
rnacentral:lncRNA from 1 species